UAUAUAUAUAUAUAUAUAUAUGACGACAAAGUAGGAUGCGGAUGUGGGACACACAAAAUAUUAUAAAAGUGACACAAAAUAUUAUAAAAGUGUCCCACAUCCGCAUCCUACUUUGUCGUCAUAUAAAUAUCUGGAUGUGCA